UUGUUUUUGGGCCGAUUUCCCAGGAUAUUUUGGGGCAAUUUCCCCAGAUAUUUAAUGUGAUUUCCCCCGGUAUUUCUGGUACAAUUUCCAGCUAUUUUUGGGGCGAUUUCCCCGGAUUUUUUAGGGGAAUUUUUCCCAGUAUUUCUGGUGCAAUUUCCCAGUAUUUUUGGGCCAAUUUCCCAGGAUAUUUAAUGUGAUUUUUCCCAGGAUUUUGGGGUAAUUUCCCAGGAUAUUUCUGGGUAAUUUACCAGGAUUUCUGGUGUCAUUUCCCCCGUAUUUCUGGUGCAAUUUCCUGAUAUUUUUGGGGCGAUUUCCCAGGAUAUUUUGGGCCGAUUUCCCAGGAUAUUUCUGGGUAAUUUCCCAGGAUUUCUGGUGUCAUUUCCCGUUAUUUUUGGGACAAUUUCCCGGGAUAUUUUGGUGCGAUUUCCCAGGAUAUUUUGGGGCAAUUUCCCCAGAUAUUUAAUGUGAUUUCCCCUGGUAUUUCUGGUACAAUUUCCAGCUAUUUUUGGGGCGAUUUCCCAGGAUUUUUUAGGGGAAUUUUUCCCAGUAUAUCUUGUGCAAUUUCUCGUUAUUUUUGGGCCAAUUUCCCAGGAUAUUUUGGGGCAAUUUCCCAGGAUAUUUUGGGGCAAUUUCCCAGGAUUUUUAGGGGAAUUUUUCCCAGUAUUUCUGGUGCAAUUUCCCGUUAUUUUUGGGCCGAUUUCCCAGGAUAUUUUGGGGCAAUUUCCCCAGAUAUUUAGUGUGAUUUCCCCCGCUAUUUCUGGUGCAAUUUCCAGCUAUUUUUGGGGCGAUUCCCCAGGACUUUUAGGGGAAUUUUUCCCAGUAUAUCUUGUGCAAUUUCCCGUUAUUUUUGGGGCAAUUUCCCCAGAUAUUUAGUGUGAUUUCCCCCGAUAUUUCUGGUGCAAUUUCCUGGUAUUUUUGGGGCAAUUUCUCUGGAUAUUUUGGGGCGAUUUCCCAGGAUUUUUAGGGGAAUUUUUUCUAGUAUAUCUUGUGCAAAUUCUCGUUGUUUUUGGGCCG
ensembl:lncRNA